GUGGUCCAAUGGUUAAGAUUCUGCACUGCCAAUGCAGAGGGUGAUGGUUCAAUCCCUCC
rnacentral:tRNA from 1 species